AACGAACGCUGGCGGCAUGCCUAACACAUGCAAGUCGAACGAGACCUUCGGGUCUAGUGGCGCACGGGUGCGUAACGCGUGGGAACCUGCCCUUAGGUUCGGAAUAACUCCCCGAAAGGGGUGCUAAUACCGGAUAAUGUCCUCGGACCAAAGAUUUAUCGCCUUUGGAUGGGCCCGCGUUGGAUUAGCUAGUUGGUAGGGUAAAAGCCUACCAAGGCGACGAUCCAUAGCUGGUCUGAGAGGAUGAUCAGCCACACUGGAACUGAGACACGGCCCAGACUCCUACGGGAGGCAGCAGUGGGGAAUAUUGGACAAUGGGCGAAAGCCUGAUCCAGCAAUGCCGCGUGAGUGAUGAAGGCCUUAGGGUUGUAAAGCUCUUUUACCCGGGAUGAUAAUGACAGUACCGGGAGAAUAAGCUCCGGCUAACUCCGUG
rnacentral:rRNA from 1 species